rnacentral:rRNA from 1 species
UACGAAGGGGGCUAGCGUUGCUCGGAUUUACUGGGCGUAAAGGGCGCGUAGGCGGACAUUUAAGUCGGGGGUGAAAGCCCGGGGCUCAACCUCGGAAUUGCCUUCGAUACUGGAUGUCUUGAGUAUGAGAGAGGUGUGUGGAACUCCGAGUGUAGAGGUGAAAUUCGUAGAUAUUCGGAAGAACACCAGUGGCGAAGGCGACACACUGGCUCAUUACUGACGCUGAGGCGCGAAAGCGUGGGGAGCAAACAGG